UAUCUCUGUAGAGUCUGCAUAUCAAUAAGCGGAGGAAAAGAAACUAACUAGGAUUCCCUCAGUAACGGCGAGUGAAGCGGGAAGAGCUCAAAUUUGAAAUCUUCAAGGUUUUACCUUGACGAAUUGUAGUUUAAAGAAGUGUUUUCUGUUGGAGUUUUGGUAAAAGUUCUUUGGAAUAGGACAUCAUAGAGGGUGAGAAUCCCGUAUUUGACCAUUAUUUCCAGCUUUGUGAUACACUUUCAAAGAGUCGGAUUGUUUGGGAAUGCAGUCCAAAAUGGGUGGUAAAUUUCAUCUAAAGCUAAAUACUGGCGAGAGACCGAUAGCGAACAAGUACCGUGAGGGAAAGAUGAAAAGAACUUUGAAAAGAGAGUUAAACAGUACGUGAAAUUGUCAAAAGGGAAGCGUUUGACACCAGUGUUGUUUUCUCGAAAAUCAAUUAAAAAAUGGCAGGGAUUUUGUGUUGUAUUGACUUUAUCAGCUUUCUGCACUUUUUUCCUGUCUUUUUUAAUGCACUUUUCGUUUAACAAGUCAACAUCAAUUUCUUUUGUUGUAAAAGGGUCAUUGGAAGGUGGCUUUCUUUUCGGAGAAAGUGUUUAUAGCCUUUGGCCUCUGCAAUCGGAGAGAUUGAGGUCUGCAGCGUAGAUCCUUCGGGGUUAGAUACAUUUGUGCUAAGUUAUAGCCUUUCAUAGACAACUUGUUGACUAUGAUCAGUCAUGUAGCUUACUCGCUUAUGCUAUUUUACCUACGCUUAGGAUGUUGAGUCAUCACACAUCUCU
rnacentral:rRNA from 1 species